AAACUCGAUGAGAUAUUUUCCGGAACGUCCGGCAAAUGCCCCUUCUUCCGCGCUCGGCGCUGGGGGCUUCGUGCGGACAGAAACUUCCGCGGGAGGGUCUGCAUGGGGGGUCCCGACAAUGAUUUACGCUGAAGUCAGAAGAACGCCCUACGUAUUACGCAAAAUCAAGGAUGGCAAUUACGCUAAAUUUGGUCACCUCGCUACGAAUUACGCAGAUAUUCAUAAGAUGGUUUUCCCUACGAAUUACGGGAAAUAAAAAUAGGCUGCCUACGAAUAGGCCAAGGAAGACGUGGCUGGACAAUAUCAAGACAUGGACUGGCCUAAGCACUGAACAGCUCAUCAGAGGGGCAGAGGACAGAGCGAGAUGGGCACGGAUCACUGCUACUGGAUGUCGGGGAGCCCCUACGACCACUGAGGUUACGGGCCGUGAGUGAGAUAUGGCCUUAGUUGCUGAAGAUCAUCAAGAUGAGAGGAUGGAGGUGUGCUUCACAAAGCUAAAGCAGGCACAAAAAGACCUCAAAAACUACAAGAGAAGAUGUACACAGGCAGAGCACGAAAAUGAACAACUGGAAGAGAGAUACGAGUGGCUUACUCAACAGUACUAGUAUUAAAUCGUAUCGCAGCUCCACACAAAUGUAGAACACUUCCAGAAAGUCAUAGCAGAAAAGUCAUCUGAUGUGUUCGAAAUCAGUAAAAACCUUGCA